rnacentral:rRNA from 1 species
UACGGAGGGGGCUAGCGUUUGUUCGGAAUUACUGGGCGUAAAGCGCACGUAGGCGGCUUUGCAAGUUAGAGGUGAAAGCCCAGGGCUUAACCCUGGAAUUGCCUUUAAAACUGCAUCGCUAGAAUUGUGGAGAGGUAAGUGGAAUUCCGAGUGUAGAGGUGAAAUUCGUAGAUAUUCGGAAGAACACCAGUGGCGAAGGCGACUUACUGGA